rnacentral:rRNA from 1 species
AUUGAACGCUGGCGGCAGGCCUAACACAUGCAAGUCGAGCGGCAGCGGGAAAGUAGCUUGCUACUUUUGCCGGCGUGCGGCGGACGGGUGAGUAAUGCCUGGGGAGCUGCCCAAUCGAGGGGGAUAACAACUGGAAACGGUUGCUAAUACCGCAUACGCCCUGCGGGGGAAAGGUGGGGACCUUCGGGCCUACCGCGAUUGGAUGCACCCAUGUGGGAUUAGCUAGUUGGUGAGGUAACGGCUCACCAAGGCGACGAUCUCUAGCUGGUCUGAGAGGAUGACCAGCCACACUGGAACUGAGACACGGUCCAGACUCCUACGGGAGGCAGCAGUGGGGAAUAUUGCACAAUGGGGGAAACCCUGAUGCAGCCAUGCCGCGUGUGUGAAGAAGGCCUUCGGGUUGUAAAGCACUUUCAGUGGGGAGGAAGGGCUGAUGACUAAUAUUCAUCAGCAUUGACGUUACCCACAGAAGAAGCACCGGCUAACUCCGUGCCAGCCGCCGCGGUAACAC